rnacentral:rRNA from 1 species
AGGACGAACGCUGGCGGCGUGCUUAACACAUGCAAGUCGAGCGGAAAGGCCCUUCGGGGUACUCGAGCGGCGAACGGGUGAGUAACACGUGAGCAACCUGCCCUUAGCUCCGGGAUAGCUCCGGGAAACCGGAAUUAAUACCGGAUACAACCACGGCCGACAUCUGCUGUGGUGGAAAGGAUUCCGGCUAAGGAUGGGCUCGCGGCCUAUCAGCUAGUUGGUGGAGUAACGGCCCACCAAGGCGACGACGGGUAGCCGGCCUGAGAGGGCGACCGGCCACACUGGGACUGAGACACGGCCCAGACUCCUACGGGAGGCAGCAGUGGGAAUAUUGCGCAAUGGGCGAAAGCCUGACGCAGCGACGCCGCGUGGGGGAUGAAGGCCUUCGGGUUGUAAACCCCUUUCAGCAGGGACGAAGCGAAAGUGACGGUACCUGCAGAAGAAGCGCCGGCUAACUACGUGCCAGCAGCCGC